GACGUAGGGCGCGAGCGUUGUCCGGAUUUAUUGGGCGUAAAGAGCUCGUAGGCGGCUCAUUGCGUCAACCGUGAAAACCAGCAGCUCAACUGUUGGCUUGCGGUGGUGUACUGGAUGGGGUGGCUGGAGUUCGGUAGGGGAGACUGGAAUUCCUGGUGUAGCGGUGAAAUGCGCAGAUAUCAGGAGGAACACCGGUGGCGAAGGCGGGUCUCUGGGCCGAUACUGACGCUGAGGAGCGAAAAGCGUGGGGAGCGAACAGG
rnacentral:rRNA from 1 species